rnacentral:rRNA from 1 species
GAAUAUUGGACAAUGGGGGCAACCCUGAUCCAGCCAUGCCGCGUGUGUGACGAAGGCCUUUUGGUUGUAAAGCACUUUAAGCAGUGAAGAAGACUCCCUGGUUAAUACCCAUGGACGAUGCCAUUAGCUGCAGAAUAAGCCGCGGCUAACUCUGUGCCCGCAGCCGCGGUAAUACAGAGGGUGCAAGCGUUAAUCGGAAUUACUGGGCGUAAAGCGAGCGUAGGUGGCUUGAUAAGUCAGAUGUGAAAUCCCCGGGCUUAACCUGUGAACUGCAUCUGAUACUGUUAGGCUAGAAUAGGUGAGAGGAAGGUAGGAUUCCAGGUGUAGCGGUGAAAUGCGUAGAGAUCUGGAGGAAUACCGAUGGCGAAGGCAGCCUUCUGGCAUCAUAUUGACACUGAGGUUCGAAAGCGUGGGUAGCAAAC